CCGCGGUAUCCUAACCGUGCAAAGGUAGCGCAAUCAAUUGUCCCAUAAAUCGAGACUAGUAUGAAUGGCUAAACGAGGUCUUAACUGUCUCUUACAGGCAAUCGGUGAAAUUGAUCUCCCUGUACAAAAGCAGGGAUAAACCCAUAAGACGAGAAGACCCUGUGGAACUUCAAAACCAGCGACCACCUUAAAUCACAUACUCACCCACCGGGUUCACUGACACAUAAGCCACUGGUCCGCGUUUUUCGGUUGGGGCGACCUUGGAGCAAAACAAAACCUCCAAAAAUUAGACCACACCUCUAGACUGAGAGCAACCCCUCAACGUGCUAAUAGCACCCAGACCCAAUAUAAUUGAUCAAUGGACCAAGCUACCCCAGGGAUAACAGCGCAAUCUCCCCCGAGAGUCCGUAUUGACGGGGAGGUUUACGACCUCGAUGUUGGAUCAGGACAUCCUAGUGGUGCAGCCGCUACUA
rnacentral:rRNA from 6 species